rnacentral:rRNA from 1 species
GACGAACGCUGGCGGCGUGCCUAACACAUGCAAGUUGAGCGACCAACCAGGGCUUGCCCUGGGGCAAAGCAGCGAACGGGUGAGUAACACGUGGGUAACCUACCCCGCUAACCGGGACAACCCAAGGAGACUCGGGCUAGUACCGGCUGUGCUCACUGUUCUUCGGUUCAGUUCGUAAAGGAAGCUUCGGCCUCCUUAUCGUGAUGGGCCCGCGGCCCAUUCGUUAGUUGGUGAGGUAACGGCUCACCAAGCCCGCGAUGGGUAGCUGGUCUGAGAGGACGAUCAGCCACACUGGAACUGAGACACGGCCCAGACUCCUACGGGAGGCAGCAGUGGGGAAUCUUGCGCAAUGCGCGAAAGCGUGACGCAGCAACGCCGCGUGGGUGAAGAAGGCCUUCGGGUUGUAAACCCCUUUCAGGAGGGACGAAGGUUCGGCGGUGAAUAGGCGCCCGGAUUGACGGUACCUACACAAGAAGCCCCGGCUAACUACGUG